rnacentral:rRNA from 1 species
GGAGUUAGCCGGUGCUUCUUCUGUGAGUGAUGUCCUUCCUGCCGGCUAUUAACCCGCAGGCCUUCUUCCUCACUGAAAGUGCUUUACAACCCGAAGGCCUUCUUCACACACGCGGCAUGGCUGGAUCAGGGUUGCCCCCAUUGUCCAAUAUUCCCCACUGCUGCCUCCCGUAGGAGUCUGGGCCGUGUCUCAGUCCCAGUGUGGCUGAUCAUCCUCUCAGACCAGCUACGGAUCGUCGCCUUGGUGAGCCGUUACCUCACCAACCAGCUAAUCCGACAUAGGCUCAUCCGAUAGCGCGAGGCCCGAAGGUCCCCCGCUUUCCCCCGUAGGGCGUAUGCGGUAUUAGCCUGGGUUUACCCCCAGGUUAUCCCCCGACUACCGGGCAGAUUCCUAUGCAUUACUCACCCGUCCGCCGCUCGCCACCAGGGAGCAAGCUCCCCGUGCUGCCGCUCGACUUGCAUGUGUUAGGCCUGCCGCCAGCGUUCAAUCUGAGCCAGAAUCAAACUCUGA